GCUGAAAGUCACCUCCAGACCCUCACUGCUCCCCAAGAACACCCAUGUCAGCGUGUGGCUGCAAGGAAAACGAAGGACUCUGGUGUGUGUCACCUCCACCUCCGCAAUUCCCGUACGGCUGAUGAGCGGCUGGAUGGCUCCGUGCCUUCAUCACUGAACUACUGAAGCCAAUAAUGAACAUAAAUACUUACAUAACAUAAAAAACCACAACUUGCAGGAUUUUAAAGCAACCACAGACAUCUUGCAGCUAAGACAAUGUUAGUUUUUAAUGAAAGUAAUUCUGUUGCUAUCCCAAGAGAUGUUAGAAUGAAAGAG